CCCGCUGAACUUAAGCAUAUCAAUAAGCGGAGGAAAAGAAACUAACAGGGAUUGCCCUAGUAACUGCGAGUGAAGCGGGAAAAGCUCAAAUUUAAAAUCUGGCGGUCUUUUGGCUGUCCGAGUUGUAAUCUAGAGAAAUGUUAUCCGCGCUGGACCGUGUACAAGUCUCCUGGAAUGGAGCAUCAUAGAGGGUGAGAAUCCCGUCUUUGACAUGGACUGCCAGGGCUUUGUGAUGCGCUCUCAAAGAGUCGAGUUGUUUGGGAAUGCAGCUCAAAAUGGGUGGUAAAUUCCAUCUAAAGCUAAAUAUUGGCGAGAGACCGAUAGCGAACAAGUACCGUGAGGGAAAGAUGAAAAGAACUUUGGAAAGAGAGUUAAACAGUACGUGAAAUUGCUGAAAGGGAAACGCUUGAAGUCAGUCACGUUGGCCGGAAAUCAGCCUUGCUUUUGCUUGGUGUAUUUUCUGGUUGAUGGGUCAGCAUCAAUUUUGACCGCUGGAAAAAGGCUUGAGGAAUGUGGCAGCUUUGGCUGUGUUAUAGCUUCAGGUCAUAUACAGUGGUUGGGAUUGAGGAACUCAGCACGCCACAAGGCCGGGUCUCGACCACGUUCGUGCUUAGGAUGCUGGCAUAAUGGCUUUAAGCGACCCGUCUUGAAACACGG
rnacentral:rRNA from 1 species